rnacentral:tRNA from 1 species
AGCUAAUGAGCUUGUUAUAAGCAUAUAUUUUGAAAAUAUAAUAAAGAGUAAUUUCUCUAUUAGCUU